rnacentral:rRNA from 1 species
AGUGACGUAAGGGUGCGUAACACGUAUGCAUCUACCCUCAACAGGAGUAUAGCUCGGGGAAACUCGGAUUAACACUCCAUAAUGUGGCAUCACUAAAACUCCGGUGGUUGAGGAUGAGCAUGCGUCUGAUUAGUUAGUUGGUGAGGUAACGGCUCACCAAGACGAUGAUCAGUAGGGGAACUGAGAGGUUGAUCCCCCACACUGGCACUGAGAUACGGGUCAGACUCCUACGGGAGGCAGCAGUAGGGAAUAUUGGUCAAUGGGUGCAAGCCUGAACCAGCCAUGCCGCGUGCAGGAAGACGGCCUUCGGGUUGUAAACUGCUUUUAUCUGGGGAUAAAAUGACCGUGCGCGGUUAAUUGAAGGUACCAGAUGAAUAAGCACCGGCUAACUACGUGCCAGCAGCCGCGGUAAUACGUAGGGUGCAAGCGUUGUCCGGAUUUAUUGGGUUUAAAGGGUGCGUAGGCGGCCUGUUAAGUCAGUGGUGAAAUCCAACAGCUCAACUGUUGAUGUGCCAAUGAUACUGACAGGCUUGAGUACAGACGAGGUAGGCGGAAUUGACAGUGUAGCGGUGAAAUGCAUAGAUAUUGUCAAGAACACCGAUAGCGAAGGCAGCUUGCUAGCCCUGUACUGACGCUGAGGCACGAAAGUUUGGGGAAUCAACAGGAUUAGAUACCCUGGUAGUUUCCAA